ACCAGCACCGGAAUAUUUUAUAAUACUGGAGUAUUUGGCCAUAAACGUACUAGUUAAUUGAAUUAUUAAAAAAAGACAUCAAAACAGUACACUGUUGCCUCGAGUCGAGUACAAGCACCGAUUUGAAAAAAAAAAUGCGCCUUAAGAGCCUUAUUGUCAUAUGGAGCAGGACGACCACGACGAACGGCUUUGCUUGCUUGCACUUAAACAUACACACCUUUGGGUUGUAUGAGUCCUGUAUAGCCUGAUUUGUGUAAAAGUAGAUGGUCGAGCUAGCUGUGGCCACACGUCCUCACUAGCGAUUCUUAGAUUAAAAGCGGUUGAUGAAGCUCUUAUACACCUCGAAAUUGAUUAACGCAUGAUACAAAAGUAAGCAAGUCCUUGGCUUGCAGAGCAUUAAUAUGUGCCAUUGGAUGUCCUUGGUUGGGAUCUUCGUAGGCUAGAAACCCGCUAUUGUUGACGAUAUAGGGCGGUAUUGAUUCCGAGCCAAUCCAACGGAAUAUAUGCCUAUGCGGCUCUGCGGUACGUUUCGGUCUGCUUCAAUCCCCAAAUCCCUGCAUUAUAAACCUCCCAUAUGGAUACUGUCAAAAUGAAAAAUCCAACGAAAUUCGUGUGUGUACAUUUUAUUGAAAAGCUAUUGUGCGUUGGCGUCAUAUCGUUGCAUCAUAAAACGGCUGUUUAAUCAUCAUUGUCAGAACCCGGCAUAUUUGCUCUGCAACAACCUGCAAAAAUGGAUCGUCAAAGCACCGCCGAAUCCGUUGUCUCCUGUUGCGCGGCUGCUGGAGGACAAUGCAAUUGCGCAGAGAUAUCCCUGAAAAACAGCAAGGAUUUACAUACAUUAAAGAACAUAAUUACUGACGUCAUUAUACAAAAUGAGACGAUAAUCAAGUGGCAACAGCAAAACCAACUGUUGGGGAGUGCCCUCGUGUAGACGGCCUUACAGGUGCAGAUGCUGCAUGGGCCUCGUUCUCUCAGGUGACAGGGACUGUCACCUGGAGACGAAGCAAGCACGAAGAGGUCACUCCCCCACGAGCCGAGCCGAGAGAUAGACGUGAGCGGGUCUCCGUCUAAGGAUUUGUAGAAUAUAAGUUUCAUUGUAAUAGAUAUAAGUUUUAUAAUCUGAGACUGUUUAUGUUUUGUUUACCGUCAAGUUAAGUUGAGAACGUAGACAUAACACCAACCAAAUGUACCUCAGCAAGAAACACCCGAACAACAACAAGUAACGGAAGCCGACGAGGAAAUUAUCCCCUUGAUAGCUACUAAGAAAGAGUUGGAUGAUCUGCAGCAGAAUUUAGCUAUGGAGGAUUAUUUUAAUGAUAUAAGGUUAAAGCUGGAGGCUAAAAUAAAGGCCACAGUAACGAAGGCACGACUUCAUGAGGCCUUAUAUCUGAUCUUCAAUAGGUUGUUUCUAGUAGAAUGUAGUUGGAGUGGAAGAGGAGGCAAAAUAGCUUUUCGGAAGUACGAUCAGGUGUUGCGGCUAUUUGGUCGCAUAGGUGAUGUCGGUGAAAAAACGUUGAGAAAGCAUUCCUUGAGAAAUUUAUUCAAGGAAAACUUCAGAAUGCAAAAAACAGUUCAACUAUAUCUGGUGUGAUUAAAAGCGUGACUCGUGGUUCAUUCACACGGAAGACCAAAGGACGGCGUAACAAAAAAAUUAAAAAUAUAGUUUAGUUGAGACAAGUUUGUUUUUUAUAUCACCACACAGUGAUUGGCUGUGACGUUAUGAACUAUGAAUUAAUAUGAAUAAACCAAUGAAUUACUUUAUGCAACACAUCUCGUAUUAAGUGGUUUAGGAAAGGUACUUGAAAGAAAUGAUUAUUACUGAC